rnacentral:rRNA from 1 species
GACGAACGCUGGCGGCGUGCUUAACACAUGCAAGUCGAACGAAGACGACCGAGCUUUCUCGGUCUGAUGAGUGGCGAAGGGGGGAGUAACACGCGAGGAACCUGCCCUUCACUCUGUGAGAACCCCUGGAAAACGGGGCGAAUACAGGGGAUGAGCUCCUGUCGCAUGUGGGGCGUUGGAGAGUGAUGCGCUUGAGGAUUGGCUUGCGGCCUAUCAGGUUGUUGGUGAGGGAGUGUCUCACCAAGGCGAUGACGGGUAACGCCACUGAGAGGACGACCGGCCACCCUGGGACUGACGCACGGCCCCGGCUGCUACGGGAGGCAGCAGUGCGGAAUCUUGCCGGAUGGACGCCAGCCUGAUGCAGCGACGCCGCGUGUCGGAUGACGGCCUUCGGGUUGUAGACCUCUUUCAGCAGGGACGAAGCGAAAGUGACGGUACCUGCAGCAGAAGCGCCGGCUAACUACGUG